rnacentral:rRNA from 1 species
UACAGAGGGUGCGAGCGUUGUCCGGAAUUACUGGGCGUAAAGGGCGCGCAGGCGGCCUGAUAAGUAUGGGGUGAAAUCUCAAGGCUCAGCCUUGAGGCUGCCUUGUAGACUGUCAGGCUUGAGCACGGUAGAGGCAGAUGGAAUUCCCGGUGUAGCGGUGGAAUGCGUAGAGAUCGGGAAGAACACCAGUGGCGAAGGCGGUCUGCUGGGCCGACACUGACACUGAGAGACGAAAGCUAGGGGAGCGAACAGG